AACGAACGCUGGCGGCAUGCCUAACACAUGCAAGUCGAACGAGACCUUCGGGUCUAGUGGCGCACGGGUGCGUAACACGUGGGAAUUUGCCUCGGGGUAUGGAAUAACUCAGGGAAACUUGAGCUAAUACCAUAUAAUGUCUUCGGACCAAAGAUUUAUCGCCCUGAGAUAAGCCCGCGUAGGAUUAGCUAGUUGGUGGGGUAAAAGGCUCACCAAGGCGACGAUCCUUAGCUGGUCUGAGAGGAUGAUCAGCCACACUGGGACUGAGACACGGCCCAGACUCCUACGGGAGGCAGCAGUGGGGGAAUAUUGGACAAUGGGCGAAAGCCUGAUCCAGCAAUGCCGCGUGAGUGAUGAAGGCCUUCGGGUUGUAAAGCUCUUUUACUCGGGACGAUAAUGACGGUACCGAGAGAAUAAGCCCCGGCUAACUCCGUG
rnacentral:rRNA from 1 species